rnacentral:lncRNA from 1 species
GGGUCGGAUCGAAAUUUAGUAAAUCCAGAUCUGGUCCGAAAUAUUGAAUGGAUUCAAUUUUAGAACCCAAUCCGGCCCCAUAGAUCCUUUAAAAUAAUUUGGGUCGGAUCUAAAUGGAUCGGAUCGGGUCGGAUCUUGGAUCAAUCCGACUUAUUUACAGCCCAAGAUCCGACCUAUUUACAGUCUUAUUUGUGGGUUAUCUGCUUCAUUGCCAUCCCUAUUUAUAAGGUCUGCUGGGUGUCUUGCAGGUGACA